CGUGAGCGAAGAAGGCCUUCGGGUCGUAAAGCUCUGUCAAGUGGGAAAAACGUCUACCGGUCAAUAGCCGGCAGAUCUGAUGGUACCAUUGAAGGAAGCACCGGCUAACUCCGUGCCAGCAGCCGCGGUAAUACGGAGGGUGCAAGCGUUGCUCGGAAUUAUUGGGCGUAAAGAGCGUGUAGGCGGUUUAGUAAGUCAGAUGUGAAAGCCCUGGGCUCAACCCGGGAAGUGCAUUUGAAACUGCUUUACUUGAGUAUGGGAGAGGAGAGUGGAAUUCCUGGUGUAGAGGUGAAAUUCGUAGAUAUCAGGAGGAACAUCUGUGGCGAAGGCGACUCUCUGGACCAAUACUGACGCUGAGACGCGAAAGCGUGGGUAGCAAACAGGAUUAGAUACCCUGGUAGUCCACGCCGUAAACGAUGAGAACUAGGUGUAGCGGGUAUUGACCCCUGCUGUGCCGAAGUUAACGCAUUAA
rnacentral:rRNA from 1 species